rnacentral:ncRNA from 2 species
ACUAUCACAAAGGGGAGCCUGAUUUAGGCUGAGAUUGAAUUUUUUCUAAACCCUUCGUACCUGUAUCGGUUAUGCGAGCGUAGGAAUUGUGACGAUCAAUAGU